GAUGAAGAACGUAGCGAAAUGCGAUAAGUAGUGUGAAUUGCAGAAUUCCGUGAAUCAUCGAAUCUUUGAACGCACAUUGCGCCUUCUGGUAUUCCGGAAGGCAUGCCUGUUCGAGAGUCAUUAACAACCGUUUCGAUCCCUUUCUUUCAGAAAUUACAAAGAGGAAAAGGGUUUGGUUAUGGUGGAGGAGGGAAAGGGAGCGUUUAGCCUGUAAAAAGAGGCUGUGUUCCGCCUCCCCCCCAAAAUUGUACAGGCGGUCGUGUGCGCCCACGCAUCGAGGUGUUGUAAAAGCUGCCACGGCACUUUUCACCUGUGCAGUGCGAGAUUGGCCAGCCGGUUUAAAAACCCCUCCAAACAAUCAAAGGUUGACCUCGGAUCAGGUAGGGAUACCCGCUGAACUUAAGCAUAUCAAUAAGCGGAGGA
rnacentral:misc_RNA from 1 species